CUCUGCCUGUCUCAUGAGAGCCAACACCAUUCUAAAGGACUCAUCCCACCCAGGCCACUCUGUGUGAGCUAAUGCCAUCAGGCAGAUGGCACAGGGCCAUUAAAGCAAGUACAAAUAGAUUGAAAAACAGUUUCUACCCAACUGCUGUGAGAGCU